rnacentral:lncRNA from 1 species
AUAACAAAAAUCUUAUGAAAACUCUUUUCCAUCACUUACUCUGCCAUGAUCAUGAUCUUCUGAAUUCAGUCUUAUGAAUAAUAUAGGACUACUUAUCUAUUAAAAUCGAUAGAUUUUAUUUAGAUGCGCAUCCUAUUCCUACAGUGAAUCUACUGCAACCAACAUCCACUACAAGAACCCAUAUGGCUAGGGAUCAUGUUUAUAUUUAGUCAAAUUAUAGCAACCCCACCA